rnacentral:rRNA from 1 species
CUAGAUGACGCUGGCGGCGUGCCUAAUACAUGCAAGUCGAGCGAACAGAUAAGGAGCUUGCUCCUUUGACGUUAGCGGCGGACGGGUGAGUAACACGUGGAUAACCUACCUAUAAGACUGGGAUAACUUCGGGAAACCGGAGCUAAUACCGGAUAACAUAUUGAACCGCAUGGUUCAAUAGUGAAAGGCGGCUUUGCUGUCACUUAUAGAUGGAUCCGCGCCGUAUUAGCUAGUUGGUAAGGUAACGGCUUACCAAGGCAACGAUACGUAGCCGACCUGAGAGGGUGAUCGGCCACACUGGAACUGAGACACGGUCCAGACUCCUACGGGAGGCAGCAGUAGGGAAUCUUCCGCAAUGGGCGAAAGCCUGACGGAGCAACGCCGCGUGAGUGAUGAAGGUCUUCGGAUCGUAAAACUCUGUUAUCAGGGAAGAACAAAUGUGUAAGUAACUGUGCACAUCUUGACGGUACCUGAUCAGAAAGCCACGGCUAACUACGUGCCAGCAGCCGCGGUAAUACGUAGGUGGCAAGCGUUAUCCGGAAUUAUUGGGCGUAAAGCGCGCGUAGGCGGUUUUUUAAGUCUGAUGUGAAAGCCCACGGCUCAACCGUGGAGGGUCAUUGGAAACUGGAAAACUUGAGUGCAGAAGAGGAAAGUGGAAUUCCAUGUGUAGCGGUGAAAUGCGCAGAGAUAUGGAGGAACACCAGUGGCGAAGGCGACUUUCUGGUCUGUAACUGACGCUGAUGUGCGAAAGCGUGGGGAUCAAACAGGAUUAGAUACCCUGGUAGUCCACGCCGUAAACGAUGAGUGCUAAGUGUUAGGGGGUUUCCGCCCCUUAGUGCUGCAGCUAACGCAUAAGCACUCCGCCU